GUCACUCCCCUAAGAGCUCACAUCGAGUGGAAGGUUUGGCACCUUGAUGUCAACUCUUCACCACCUGGAGCUGUAGUAUGUUCCAAGGGUUGGGUUGUUUGUCCAUUAAAACUGUACGUGAGCUAGGGUGACAUUAAGCUCUUAAGUG
rfam:Lupinus angustifolius cultivar Tanjil chromosome LG01, whole genome shotgun sequence.